UUGUUAAUUAACAAUUUAAUUUCUUAGUUAAUUAGAGAUAUUAGUGAUUAUCUUAUAACUAAAUUACAUAAUUAUAACAUAUAUAUAUAAAUAUAUUAGCAAGCUUAAAACCGGGGAGGCCAUGGCCCCCUUGGCCGCUAACGAGGAUCCGUCACUGGGUCAAUCGCACGUGGAGGGAGAGAUAGGCCGAUCCCCGGCGACCUUGUAGUUUAAUCGUUGUCAUUUGUUUGAACGGAUAAAGAAAAGGAACGAGAAUGAACAAAGCGGACGAGAACGAACAAUCGAUGGGUCGAAAGGCAGCACGAAGGUUCGUCGCUCGACUCGCCAUCGGUGAUGGACUCCGGCGUUCGACUAGACUGAAGAAGGAGAAGGAUAGAAGCAGCGAGGCGGCUUUGACCUCGGACGGGAAGGAAGAGACGAAUCAGCGGGAGUGCUCGUCUUCUGUCUUGGAAGAAGUUACGAAGGGGAAAGAGGUCCGACGGGGGUCUGGGAGGCGUCGCGAGCAGAAGCAGCGACGAUGACGGGGUUGUCUGUGGGUUUGCUCGACAGGAGGGGAAGAGGAGUGCGAGGGUUCUGUGUGUCUGCUGCUUCGAUCGGGAAAAUAAAGAAGAUCAACGUUCUUCUCUUUGUUGAUGAUGUUUGAUCGUGGUUGGAUACGAAGAAGCAAACAUAAAGAAGAAAUAUAGAGUAGUUUGCGUGUUGAUUCUUUUUAUCAUUGUAUUGAGAGUUCUUUUUGACAUUGUACAGGUUUUGAGUGUGGUUUUGUCUAUUACUUGUGUAGGGAAAAUGACUUAAAAAGGUAAUGAAGUAUCAAAUUUGUACAAAAAAAGACCAUUAUUGUUAUUUUAGUAUAAAAAAUACCAGGUUACCUGCUAUUCUAGGUUACCCAAUUGUUUUUUAUUUAUGAGGAAAAUAAGAUAUAUUUGGAAUAACUCGUGGCUUUCCCUUUCAUUAUUUCACCCAAAUUGAAACAAUUUAGGGCUUUCCCCAUCCACCGUGUUUGAGAAGAAUGAAUCUCCAACUUCAACAAGAUGUGUGUCUCUACCCACUGUCUUGAAAUCAGCCAUCAAAGAGUAUGCUUGAUCACCAGUGAGCUUUGAUCGAUUUUAAAAGCGGAAUUGCAGGAGCCUUCAAGCAAUCCUCCAAUACAUCACUGAGACCUUCCCUCUUCACACCCAUUUUCGAUUACAGGUUUAAAGGGUCACCAUUCUUGAUUCGAUCACCACCCUUCCUUUUCCUUUCUUUUUCGUGUUUUAUGUAGGUUUAAAGGGUGAAGAGGACGAUGUAUAGGGUUUAGAAAUUUAGAGAUCAAUGUGUGGGUUUGAGGCUCGAUAACGGGUGGGUGCUCUGUAAUUGGGGUGACAGGGAAUGGCAACAAUGGAGAGGGAAUGGUGUCGAUGGUGGUUGUAAUGGAGGUGGGUUAAAGGGUGUGGCUGUGAUGGAGAAAUAAGGGGGGUUUAUAUUGAUUGAAGGUUGUAAAGGUUAUGGGGGUUGAAUGUGGGAAUCAUGGAUGGAAAGUGGUGGUGUUCGGUGGUUCAGGUAGGGUGAAGAAAAUGAUGAAAGUGUGUGAAUGGAGGUUGCCUUACACGUAAAUUGUAGGGGAUGAUGGUGGGGCGUUUGGUGAUAUUGUAAAGUUGCUUAUGGUGGAUGAUAAUGGAGGUAUUAAGGGUGGUAUUCAGUGAAACUGGUGGAAUAAGGUGAUGGAUAUGGUGGUAGACAAUUACCUUGAAUACCCGGUUACCAUGAGGAUAAAUAAGAACAAAACAUAAAGUUAAAUGGUAUUUUUUGUAUAAAAUAUUAGUUCAUUGGUAUUUUUUUGUAAUAAAAUAACAAUAAUGGUCAUUUUUAUACAAUUUUGAUACUUCGUUACCAUUUUAAGUCAUUUUCCCAUU